AACAGAACCAAAACAACCAGUGGAACCCAAAAAACCUGUUGAGUCAAAAAAAUCUGGCAAGUCUGCAAAAUCAAAAGAAAAACAAGAAAAAAUUACAGACACAUUUAAAGUAAAAAGAAAAGUAGACCGUUUUAAUGGUGUUUCAGAAGCUGAACUUCUGACCAAGACUCUCCCUGAUAUUUUGACCUUCAAUCUGGACAUUGUCAUUAUUGGCAUAAACCCGGGACUGAUGGCUGCUUACAAAGGGCAUCAUUACCCUGGACCUGGAAACCAUUUUUGGAAGUGUUUGUUUAUGUCAGGGCUCAGUGAGGUCCAGCUGAACCAUAUGGAUGAUCACACUCUACCAGGGAAGUAUGGUAUUGGAUUUACCAACAUGGUGGAAAGGACCACGCCCAGCAGCAAAGAUCUCUCCAGGUAAAUACACAGCAUUUGUUUUUAUGGGUUGGAACCUUGAGUAUGCUGGUGCCCCAAAUAUUCUAGGAACAUCGUAUGUAUCUAGUUCAAGCUGAGCUUAACAAAUGUACGAUAUGCUCUUUCAUUGAAAGCUGUCUGAAUUUAGCAUAUUAUAAAUAUUGCCAUAUUUAUAUUUUUGACUACUUUUUAAUUCAAUUUUAGUAAAGAAUUUCGUGAAGGAGGACGUAUUCUAGUACAGAAAUUACAGAAAUAUCAGCCACGAAUAGCAGUGUUUAAUGGAAAAUGUAAGAUUUACUUUAAAAUUUUUUUUUUCUUUGCUAACAUUAUGGGCAAUGUAAAUAUGUUUGUAUUUCAUUUUAGGUAUUUAUGAAAUUUUUAGUAAAGAAGUUUUUGGAGUAAAGGUUAAGAACUUGGAAUUUGGGCUUCAGCCCCAUAAGAUUCCAGACACAGAAACUCUCUGCUAUGUUAUGCCAUCAUCCAGUGCAAGAUGUGCUCAGUUUCCUCGAGCCCAAGACAAAGUUCAUUACUACAUAAAACUGAAGGACUUAAGAGAUCAGUUGAAAGGCAUUGAACGGAAUAUGGAUGUUCAAGAGGUGCAAUAUACAUUUGACCUACAGCUUGCCCAAGAGGAUGCAAAGAAGAUGGCUGUUAAGGAAGAAAAAUAUGAUCCGGGUUAUGAGGCAGCAUAUGGUGGUGCUUACGGAGAAAAUCCAUGCAACAGGGAACCUUGCGACUUCUCUUCAAAUGGGCUAAUUGACAGUGCGGAGUUAAGAGGAGAAUCAGCUUUCAGUGGCAUUCCUAAUGGGCAGUGGAUGACCCAGUCAUUUACAGACCAAAUUCCUUCCUUUAAUAAUCACUGUGGA
rnacentral:sRNA from 1 species